rnacentral:lncRNA from 1 species
UUCCACUUCCAGCCUCGGGCUGGGAAGGCAGGGCAGGCUGCCGGUGGGAUGUCAGAGGGGAAAUACAAUCUAAGGGACGGACGGCAGCCAGACAGGCUCCUAGAACACUCCGCGCGUUAUAAAGACGCGUCUUUAUGAGGGAACACCGCUAUUCGGCUACACGACGGCACUCCCCGCUACCACGAGCCCGGCACAGCCCUGUGACGAGAGCAGGGGAGCCGCGGGCAGUGACGCAGCCGCUCCCGGCCGCAGCCCCCCGCCCUCCGCCGCUCCUUGGGCGCCCCCCGCCGGCGGCACUCCGCCCCGCUGCUCUGCGGCCACGGCCGGCAGCUCGAAGGCGUCGGGCUGUGCGCGCCGCUCUCCCCGCUCAGCGGCCCCGCCCGUGUGACAGAGGCGGGAGCCCCAGAGCGCACCUCCGUGCAGCCGCUUUCUCGGGGAAGUCGGUGAGAAUUACUCAGUCAGCUUUCGCCUUCCCUAUUUGCAGAGGAAGAGAGCAGUUCUGGUUUCCUGAGCGCUUUCAACUUCAGUGACAUUUUUUCCCAGCUCAGAGAAGACCUUAGGCGUAAGCUCAGGGGAGAGCUCAGACACGACCUUAAGGAGAUCGGGUAUCUGAGCCUCUGCUACGACCACGAGGUUAGCAACCCCACACAUCUACCCACAGACACAGAAUGCACACGCACGCCUUGGAGCAGGAGGAGUCCUCGCUGAGGGAACACCACAGCUGACAGUGACGCUGCUAUGCCCUACUUCAGAAACACCGCUUCUCGUACCCAGCCGCCCCAAACGCAGCUCCGCGGAGGUCUUAAAGGCUGCGGGAAACUUCCCAGCGAGGCGUGCCCGAGCCCCGCAGCACGCAGCGCACUGCCCUUCCUUCGCCCCACGGACUGCAGCGGCCCACACCUGCAAUUCCAGGGACCCCAGAACGAACUUCAAAAUGCCAUCCCCAAAGAGCUCCCUCACCUGAAAGCACUUACAGCACACACGCGUACACGUGCACGAAAAA